CGAUCUGUAGCAAUACAGGGAGUGGCGGAAGGGUGAGUAACACGUACGAACCUGCCUUAUCGCAGGGAAUAACUGAUCGAAAGAUUAGCUAAUACCCAAAAGGAUCUGCAAAGAUCAGAGUCGAAAGGCGUGAUGAGAGGGUCCUGCGUCCCAUCAGCUUGUUGGUAGGGUAACGGCCUACCAAGGCUACGACGGGUAGGGGGUCUGAGAGGACGUCCCCCCACACUGGAACUGAAACACGGUCCAGACGCCUACGGGUGGCAGCAGGGAGGAAUAUUGGACAAUGGGGGAAACCCCGAUCCAGCAACGCCGCGUGGAGGAUGAAGGCCUUCGGGUCGUAAACUCCUUUUCAGGGAGACGAGAAAGGACGGUAUCCCUGGAAUAAGUCCGGCUAACUACGUGCCAUCGCCGCGGUAAUACGUAGGUGACGAGCGUUUCCGGAUUUCUGGGCGUAAGCGCUUGAUGUGGCUUCAUAGUUGGGCGUGAAAACACCGGGCUUAACUCGGUGACGCCCUCCAAUACUGCUAGGCUGGAGGAUGUCAGAGGAAGGUGGAAUUCCUGGUGUAGUGGUGAAAUGCGUAGAUCUCAGGAGGAACACCCGUGGCUAAUGCGGCCUUCUGGGGUAUUCCUGACCUGAAAGCGAAACUAUGGACCAACAGGAUUAGAAACCCUGGUAGUCCUAGCCGUAACGAUGGAUGCUAGUGUUGGCGACUUAACCUGCUGUGCCUAACUAAGCGUUAUCAUCUCGCUGGGAAUACACCGCGGGUUAAACUCAACGAUUGACGGG
rnacentral:rRNA from 1 species